UUCACUUAUCGUUCAAUCUGUGCAGGACUGUGCAGACGAAGGGAAGAAACUGCGUCACUUUAGGCCGUCAGUUCGUUCCAGACAGUCAUGCAUACCGCAUGCAACGAAUCAGGCAAUGAAGAUUAUAACACGUUACGGCGAAAGAACGGCGGUGGUGUCCUGCGAUGGCAACUCAACUGUACUCCGCCUGAGGGAAGAUGAACUAAUGUGCUAGCACCUUACAAUCUACGAUGACGACUUUGACAUCUGUGUGGAAACAGCACAAGCAGAUUAGGGAAGAAUGCAAUGCGCUCACAGGGACUGUCAUUGAAACUGCCUUGGACAGAGUUCUACAGGACAUUUCGGAAGCGG